GGUGCAGAGGGGGGUGGAAUUCCACGUGUAGCAGUGAAAUGCGUAAAGAUGUGGAGGAACACCAAUGGCGAAGGCAGCCCCCUGGGUCGAUACUGACGCUCAUGCACGAAAGCGUGGGUAGCAAACAGGAUUAGAUACCCUGGUAGUCCACGCCCUAAACGAUGUCAACUAGGUGUUGGGAGGGUAAAACCUUUUAGUGCCGUAGCUAACG
rnacentral:rRNA from 1 species